rnacentral:rRNA from 1 species
GUGGGGAAUAUUGCGCAAUGGGCGAAAGCCUGACGCAGCGACGCCGCGUGAGGGAUGAAGGUUUUCGGAUCGUAAACCUCUGUCAGAAGGGAAGAAACUACAUUGUGCUAAUCAGCAGUGUACUGACGGUACCUUCAAAGGAAGCACCGGCUAACUCCGUGCCAGCAGUCGCGGUAAUACGGAGGGUGCAAGCGUUAAUCGGAAUUACUGGGCGUAAAGCGCACGUAGGCUGUAGUGUAAGUCAGGGGUGAAAUCCCACGGCUCAACCGUGGAACUGCCUUUGAUACUGCACAACUUGAAUCCGGGAGAGGGUGGCGGAAUUCCAGGUGUAGGAGUGAAAUCCGUAGAUAUCUGGAGGAACAUCAGUGGCGAAGGCGGCCACCUGGACCGGUAUUGACGCUGAGGUGCGAAAGCGUGGGGAGCAAACAGGAUUAGAAACCCGUGUAGUCC